AGUGAAAGACGGUCUUGCUGUCACUUAUAGAUGGAUCCGCGCUGCAUUAGCUAGUUGGUAAGGUAACGGCUUACCAAGGCAACGAUGCAUAGCCGACCUGAGAGGGUGAUCGGCCACACUGGAACUGAGACACGGUCCAGACUCCUACGGGAGGCAGCAGUAGGGAAUCUUCCGCAAUGGGCGAAAGCCUGACGGAGCAACGCCGCGUGAGUGAUGAAGGUCUUCGGAUCGUAAAACUCUGUUAUUAGGGAAGAACAUAUGUGUAAGUAACUGUGCACAUCUUGACGGUACCUAAUCAGAAAGCCACGGCUAACUACGUGCCAGCAGCCGCGGUAAUACGUAGGUGGCAAGCGUUAUCCGGAAUUAUUGGGCGUAAAGCGCGCGUAGGCGGUUUUUUAAGUCUGAUGUGAAAGCCCACGGCUCAACCGUGGAGGGUCAUUGGAAACUGGAAAAC
rnacentral:rRNA from 1 species